AUUGAACGCUGGCGGCAGGCCUAACACAUGCAAGUCGAACGAUUGGCGGACGGGUGAGUAAUGUCUGGGAAACUGCCUCAUAGCGGGGGAUAACUAUUGGAAACGAUAGCUAAUACCGCAUACUGUGAGAUGGACCUGCGGUGUAUUAGCUAGGUGGUGAGGUAAAGGCUCACCAAGGCGACGAUCCCUAGCUGGUCUGAGAGGAUGACCAGCCACACUGGAACUGAGACACGGUCCAGACUCCUACGGGAGGCAGCAGUGGGGAAUAUUGCACAAUGGGCGCAAGCCUGAUGCAGCAAUGCCGCGUGUAUGAAGAAGGCCUUCGGGUUGUAAAGUACUUUCAGCGGGGAGGCGUUACCCGCAGAAGAAGCACCGGCUAACUCCGUGCCAGCAGCCGCGGUAAUAC
rnacentral:rRNA from 1 species